UACGUAGGGUGCAAGCGUUUGUCCGGAAUUAUUGGGCGUAAAGAGCUCGUAGGCGGUUUGUCGCGUCGGCUGUGAAAACUCGGGGCUCAACCCCGAGCCUGCAGUCGAUACGGGCAAACUAGAGUGUGGUAGGGGAGACUGGAAUUCCUGGUGUAGCGGUGAAAUGCGCAGAUAUCAGGAGGAACACCGGCGGCGAAGGCGGGUCUCUGGGCCAUAACUGACGCUGAGGAGCGAAAGCGUGGGGGAGCGAACAGG
rnacentral:rRNA from 1 species